CAGUAGCCGCGGGAAUACGUAGGGUGCGAGCGUUAAUCGGAAUUACUGGGCGUAAAGCGUGCGCAGGCGGUUAUAUAAGACAGAUGUGAAAUCCCCUGGCUCAACCUGGGACCUGCAUUUGUGACUGUAUAGCUAGAGUACGGUAGAGGGGGAUGGAAUUCCGCGUGUAGCGGUGAAAUGCGUAGAGAUCUGGGGGAAUACCGGUGGCGAAGGCGGCCCCCUGGGCCAAUACUGACGCUCAUGCACGAAAGCGUGGGGAGCAAAUGGGAUUAGAUACCCGGGUAGUCCCUGUCUCUUAUAC
rnacentral:rRNA from 1 species